AGGCUGGACCUAAGCAUCCACAGCCUCCAUUCAGAUCAGAAAUUAAUUUCCAUUUUACUAUGGUAGAAAUCACUGACACACUACGAUACACACAAUUUCAACAACAUAAUUUUGAGGGGAAAAAAGUUUUUAUCAUUAUUGCUGAGGUAAAUGGCAUUGCAAUCUACAAUAACAACAUUUAAAUUUCAAUUACAACUCUCAGUGACUUUACUUGCCAUUAUUAA